rnacentral:rRNA from 1 species
GACGAACGCUGGCGGCGUGCUUAACACAUGCAAGUCGAACGAAGCGGCGGACGGGUGAGUAACACGUGAGUAACUGCCUUAGACAUUGGGAUAGCCUCGGGAAACCGGGAUUAAUACCAAAUGGUCUAAGAUGGACUCGCGUCCCAUUAGCUAGUUGGUGAGGUAACGGGCCACCAAGGCGACGACGGGUAGCCGGCCUGAGAGGGUGAACGGCAACAUUGGGCGGAGAUACGGCCCAGAGUCCUACGGGAGGCAGCAGUGGGGGAUAUUGGCCAAUGGGUGAAAGCCUGAUGCAGCGACGCCGCGUAGGGGAUGAGGGCUUUCGUGUUGUAAACCUCUUUCGCUAUCGAACAGGUAGGUGGAUAAGAAGCGCCGGCUAACUACGUGCCAGCAGCCGCGGUAAUAC